AUCCAUUGUUAUUUCUUCAUUUACGUCCAUAUCAUUAACUGAUUUAUUGUCGUUCAGAAAAGUAACUACUAUGUUGCUGUUUCUUUUAAGUUUAAAUUGUUCUAUGCAUACCAAGUUUAAAAUGUUAAUUGCCUGGGAUGAUUAGGUGUAUUGACGACAUGGACCAACAUCCAGAUCAAUCCGUUCUCUCAAAGUUGCCUCAUGGCGUCAAGUCCCACUUGAAGCAAUCUUCACUAAGUUUGGCAGAUGACAUGGAGCUAAAAGAGUUUCUGGAAUCCCAGAUUAAUGGUUAUGCAUUACUCAAAAGCAUCUACAAGUAAUAAGAGAUCUGCUAUGUUAAAUACUGAAAGGAGAAUUAUUUCUUGAGGACGAGAAUAAUUUUGGACAGGGGUAUACUAAAGAAAGCUCACGGUGGUCAAUCGAUCAACUUCUUGGUAUAAAGAAAGAAAUACGAAUUAAAGAACAAUAAGAAAGACGUACUUAGAGUAGAUGGGAGUAAGCAGUAAGCACCUCUUACUUUUUACUGGUUUGUCCGAUUCCACAUAUUAGAAUUGCAUUGUAAGUUGAAAAAAAUGUGUACUGAAAUUCUAUGUUGUUGAGAAUUACUUCAAAGCUUGAUUCAAUGGUAAUUCCUUCUUGGUUUAGAAAAUAGUAGAGUCUGCUACACUUCUGGGUUGUUGAGCCAUCUCAAUGUAUGUGUGCUCAGUAUAGGUUAUUGAUGUCUAUAUUUUCCCUCAUUUAUUACUUUUGAACUCAGUAGUGCAUUAAAAGAUUGGAAAGACUGUUAAAAUGCUGAUUUGGUCC